rnacentral:rRNA from 1 species
UGGGGAAUUUUGGACAAUGGGGGAAACCCUGAUCCAGCCAUCCCGCGUGUGCGAUGAAGGCCUUCGGGUUGUAAAGCACUUUUGGCAGGAAAGAAACGUCGCGGGUUAAUACCCCGCGAAACUGACGGUACCUGCAGAAUAAGCACCGGCUAACUACGUGCCAGCAGCCGCGGUAAUACGUAGGGUGCAAGCGUUAAUCGGAAUUACUGGGCGUAAAGCGUGCGCAGGCGGUCCGGAAAGAAAGAUGUGAAAUCCCAGAGCUUAACUUUGGAACUGCAUUUUUAACUACCGGGCUAGAGUGUGUCAGAGGGAGGUGGAAUUCCGCGUGUAGCAGUGAAAUGCGUAGAUAUGCGGAGGAACACCGAUGGCGAAGGCAGCCUCCUGGGAUAACACUGACGCUCAUGCACGAAAGCGUGGGGAGCAAACAGGAUUAGAUACCCUGGUAGUCCACGCCCUAAACGAUGUCAACUAGCUGUUGGGGCCUUCGGGCCUUGGUAGCGCAGCUAACGCGUGAAGUUGACCGCCUGGGGAGUACGGUCGGCAAGAUUAAAACUCAAAUGAA